rnacentral:rRNA from 1 species
UACAGAGGUCCCGAGCGUUGUUCGGAUUCACUGGGCGUAAAGGGUGCGUAGGUGGUUAGGUAAGUCCGAUGUGAAAUCUCCAGGCUCAACCUGGAAAUGGCAUUGGAUACUAUUUAGCUUGAGGAGUGGAGGAGCGCGGAAUUCCCGGUGUAGCGGUGAAAUGCGUAGAGAUCGGGAGGAAGGCCGGUGGCGAAGGCGGCGCUCUGGAACGUUUCUGACACUGAGGCUCGAAAGCGUGGGGAGCAAACAGG